UUUUUUUUUUUUUUUUUUUUUUUUUGAGACAGAGUCUCACUCUGUUGCCCAGAGUGGAAUGCAGUGGUGAGAUCUCAGCUCACUGGAACCUCCGUCUCCUGGGUUCAAGUGAUUCUCCUGCCUUAGCCUCCCAAGUAGCUGGGAUUACAGGCACGUAUCACCACACCAGCUGAUUUUUGUAUUUUUAGUAGAGAUGGGGUUUCGCCAUGUUCAUCAGGCUGGUCUUGAACUCCUGACCUCAGGUGAUUCACCUGCUUUGGCUUCCUGAAGUGCUGGGAUUACAGGUGUGAGCCACCGCACCCAGCCUAAAAUUCUUACAUGAUUACAUCUCACUGCACUGUAGGUCUAUAUAUCCACAUUUGAGGUUGAACAGGCUUUUGGGAGUUGCCCCAUGCCUGAUCAUGCUUUGGAAACAUGGUUUUUAAGAGGAAAUAUAUUACAAGUUCAAAAUAACUUAAAAAUUAACUUCUGUAUCUCAACUGGCAUCUAAAUUAGAGAUUACCUGCAUAUAAUUAAACUAAUUGGAACCCAACUAAGCAAAACCCUAACUUGAUUUUACUGGAUCUCGAUUUGAAAAGAGGAAAAUGACAUCAAAAUAAAUUCACAUCAGAGAUGUAAUCAAAACACCAUUUUAGAGAACAUGCCGAAUAAAUUUAAUCCAAUAUUCUAUACUUUCAGAAUGGAAUAUCAUGAUAUCAAAAAAAGAUCCAAAAACCUCAAAAUAACCCAAUUAACAAAUCUAACCAUCAACUAUCGAGAAAACUCAACCAGAACAUAAGGACACUCACUAGGAAACUUUGUAUUAUUAAGAUCCAGUUCUUUAUUCUAACAUUGACACUUAGGUUUUAAAAUACACUCAGAAAAAAAAAGAAAAACUAGUCUAAAAAAAUAGUAAGGUCCAAUCCAAAAUAUUGGCUAAUAUUUAUUGUUUAUUAUAGAACAAGCACUGUUCUAUAUCUCAUUUUAUCCACACAAUUAUCAUCUCAAGUAUUAAUACAAUGCCCAUUUUACAGAGGAAAAAAGUUAAGCAGAGAGGGUAAUAUAUUCAAGGUCACACCACUAGUAAAUUUUAUCUCUUACAUGCCAUGCUCUACUGCUUCCACUUUUUUUUCUGUUUGGUUGUUUGUUUUUGGAAACAGAGUCUGGCUCUGUCACCCAAGCUGGAGUGCAGCGGCACAAUCUCAGCUCACUACAACCUCCACCUCCCAGGUUCAAGUGAUUCUCCUGCCUCAGCCUCCUGAGUAGCUGGGACUACACAACACGCCACUACACCAGGCUAAUUUUUGUAUUUUUAGUAGAGACGAGGUUUCACCAUGUUGGCCAGGCUGGUCUCAAACUCCUGACUUCAGGUCAUCCACCCGCCUCGGCCCCCCAAAGUGCUGGGAUUACAGGCGUGAGCCACUGCGCCUGGCCAUCUGCUGCCUUUUAUCAAACUGUUUCAAUUAUGUUUGACCUCUUCAAAUUACAGUGGAGUAUACUGUACUAACAGCUAAUUGAUAGAUAGAUUACAGAAUUAAGUAAUAAAUUAUAAAGUUGAACUGGGUAAAGCAAAACAGGAUUCCACUAAAAGUGAAAGAACACCAACUACUCAGUAAGUUUUGUGCUUGUAAAUUUUCUCAUGUUUAUUCAAAUGUUUUUAUGUCCCAUCCACAAGCAAAAUUUCCUAUGUCUGCCUCAAGUUUUCCUAGUUACAUUUUUUAGGAGGCAUUCUCUCUAAGAUAUCAAAAUGAGGGUUUUAUGUAAUCAGUAUUUAGAGAGCAUAAUCCUCUCUCCUCCAAUUUUGUUUAAAAAGUAUGUCCCUACCCUGUGAUUGUGUUGAGUCACCUCCCAGCUCUCUGGAUGCUGUUUAAAGUUCUAGGAAAAGGGAAAUCAAGAGAGGCUGCCCCAAGCCCGAAGGCCCAUGAACAAGCCAGUGGCCAUGUUACUAAUCUUUAAAUAGUGAAGGCCUACUCCCAAAUGUACCUCUAAAGGUACUUGUUCUCAAAGCAAGACUCACUGUUGCAUGAUAAUGAAGUGUUAGUUCAUAAGCCUUUAAAGUACUGUCCUGACCAGAGGCAAAAGAACCCUCUGGAAAUUUAGUGUUGGCAGCUCCAAUCACUGCCCCAAGCAGAGCCCACAUGCUAAGGUGUCUACACAGAUGCACUCCUCUGGCCCUGAGCCAGUGGAUACUGCAAACGGUAUUCUCAAACUGCUGUGUGCGUGAGAAUCACCUGGAGGACUCUUCACACCACAUCUGCAGGGCCCAUCCACCGUGAUUCUGAUUUAGUAGGUCUGGGUGGGGCCAAGAUUUUGCAUUUCUAGCAAGUUCCCAGGAGAUGCUUAUGAUGCUGGUCCUGAGGCCACAUUUUGAGAACCACUGAUGUAAGUUAAGGGGUAUGGGUCACAAUUCUCUUGGCUGGUGCCACCAGCAAGCACAACAGAAUUAAAGGUACUUUCUAUCAGUAAAGAGAGAGCAGAGUAUUGCAGAGCAGAGUAACAGCUAGCUAGUUCUCAUCCCUGCUCUCAUCCUCCACUCAUUAGCAAGGAAAAUUCAGGAAUUUCCUUGAAAUGCAGGCUUGAGGUGGCGUUUUACGGUGUCAUACUAUUUAAAUAUUGCAACUUUAGAGAAAGGGGAAAAAAGAAGAACAUUUUUUCCCCCUAACAUAACAUAAAUAAAAAUAAGCCAGAAAUUUCAUUUGUUCCUAUAUCGCCUAUCUUCUGACACUGAUCAUGAAUGUCUGGCAAAAGAGGCCAGAAUGAUAGGCAACACUAACAAAAAGACUUUGUAUUUACAGACUAGGUGACCUUUCAUCAGUGCAGCUCAAAGAAGCAGAGAAACUUUCUGAAUUAUCUAUAGAUUCAUAACAGCAGUGUCACAUGGGCCAUUAAUUCACCUCCAUGAGUCAUGCCACUGGACUAGCAGCACAAUGAUUUAAAAUAACCAGAAUAAGACAGAAAAUACCUAUUAACCCCUAGCCAAACUCAGAAAUUUUUCAAAAUUAAAAUGAAUUUAAAAGUUCACAAAAAUUAAAACAUAAAAUUAUGCAGAUGAAGUAUUUAAACACAUUACAGAGGCAGUAUGAACUC
rnacentral:lncRNA from 1 species